GCACAGUUUGGAUUUAUGGCAGGCUCAGUCCCAUGGGCCCCUCAUAGUGUGGACUGUGCCAGAGCAACAACCACCCAAAACCAUUGCCUGGCCUCUGUCUCCGUAGGCCGCAGGCACUGAUAUGGGUGGCACAACA